GCGCGAUUAGCUCAGUUGGCUAGAGCGCCUCAUUGACGUUGAGGAGGUCAGGGGUUCGAGUCCCUUAUCGCGCACCU
rnacentral:tRNA from 1 species